rnacentral:ncRNA from 1 species
GGUGCGGAAUCCGAAAAGCAGAAUGAGUAGGAA